AGCGAACGCUGGCGGCAGGCUUAACACAUGCAAGUCGAGCGGGCCCUUCGGGGUCAGCGGCGGACGGGUGAGUAACGCGUGGGAACGUGCCUUCUGGUUCGGAAUAACCCUGGGAAACUAGGGCUAAUACCGGAUACGCCCUUUUGGGGAAAGGUUUACUGCCGGAAGAUCGGCCCGCGUCUGAUUAGCUAGUUGGUGGGGUAACGGCCUACCAAGGCGACGAUCAGUAGCUGGUCUGAGAGGAUGAUCAGCCACACUGGGACUGAGACACGGCCCAGACUCCUACGGGAGGCAGCAGUGGGGAAUAUUGGACAAUGGGCGCAAGCCUGAUCCAGCCAUGCCGCGUGAGUGAUGAAGGCCUUAGGGUUGUAAAGCUCUUUUAUCCGGGACGAUAAUGACGGUACCGGAGGAAUAAGCCCCGGCUAACUUCGUGCCAGCCGCCGCCGUAA
rnacentral:rRNA from 1 species